rnacentral:rRNA from 1 species
GAUGAACGCUAGCGGCAGGCCUAAUACAUGCAAGUCGAACGGUGUCUUCGGACAUAGUGGCGCACGGGUGCGUAACACGUAUGCAGCCUACCUUACAUUGGGGGAUAGCCUUUCGAAAGGGAGAUUAAUACCGCAUAAGACAGUAGCUGGGCAUCCAGCAGCUGUUAAAGAUUUAUCGAUGUAAGAUGGGCAUGCGUCCAAUUAGUUAGUUGGCGAGGUAAUGGCUCACCAAGACUUUGAUUGGUAGGGGAACUGAGAGGUCAAUCCCCCACACUGGCACUGAGAUACGGGCCAGACUCCUACGGGAGGCAGCAGUAGGGAAUAUUGGGCAAUGGACGCAAGCCUGACCCAGCCAUGCCGCGUGCAGGAUGAAGGCGUUAUGCGUUGUAAACUGCUUUUAUACAGGAAGAAACGACUCUUGCGAGAGGCAUUGACGGUACUGUAUGAAUAAGCACCGGCUAACUCCGUGCCAGCCGCCGCAGUAA